UGACUGGGAGAGAGGUUAGGAGUGGGACUGGUUCUAAGUGGAGUCCUUCUGGACUCUAUUUCUAUGUUGCCUCCUGUACUCUGGUUUUAUUAAGGCUGCCUAUGCUUAUUCUUUUGAUUAACUUUACGUGGUCAUUAUCUUUCUGGGGCUUUCUCAUUUGUCUAACUCAGCAGUUAUCAAACUUUAGUUUCAGGAGUCCUUUAUACUCUUAAAAAUUACUGUUCACUUCUAAAACCAUUACUUCUACUGACAAGGCUUCUGGGCUUGGGCAUCACCUAUCACUCCAGCUCAAGUGAGCUUCCUUUGAACUUUCUAGUCCUAAUGAUCUUCUCCAACUUGGAAGAACCUGUGCACUGAUUCAGUUGUGGUUGAUGGUGAUAAGAGUAGUCCCAAGCCAGAAUGCAAUGGAGUCCUCCUAUUCUUACCUAAAGGUACAUUUUAUAAAUUCUGGAAAAAACUGCCGAAGAUAACUAAAGAAGGGACAAUUCUUCUGACAACUUGUGAGGAAAUAAUUUUCUGCCUUAGGAUUAGAAGACCAGCUCAUUUUUAGAGUCUUCUGAAAUAAAAUUAGAAUGGAUUGGGAUGAUGCUUAUUCCCGUAAUUCAUUUGACCUACAUUGUUUGUUAAACUCAUUUCCUGGAGACUUGGAGUUCAAGCAGAUCUUCAGUGACAUUGAUGAAAAGAUUGAACAAAAUGCUACAAGCAUAGAACAUUGCAUUAAAGAAAUACAGUCUGAAGUUAAAAAACAGUAUCCAGAUGUGCAGCUGCAAACAACAACUGACUGCUUUGAAUGGCUAACUAACUAUAAUUAUAAUACAUCUAAGUCACCUUCCAUUCCCCAUGGAGAGAUGAUAAAAUUCCUCAAAACACUGCAAGAUUUGUUGAAGAAUGAACAAAAUCAAGAAGAAAUGAUACUUGAUUUACUUUGGGAUUUCUCCUGCCAGAGCAGCGUUUCAUUUCCAUCGACUCUAAGUGGAACAUCUUUCCAUUUCCUCUCUAGGACUUCUCUUCAUUCUGUUGAAGAUCAUUCCUCUAUGGAUGCAAAAUCUAUAUGGGAUGAUAUCAGACUGCAUCUUCGACGCUUCUUAGUGAGGAAGUUACAAAGCUAUAAUGAAAUUAACAAUUCACAGCAAAAAAUUUUAUUGAAAAAUCAGUGCUUACAACAACUCUUGUUUCUUUAUCCAGAAUCGGAUGUUAUAAUCAAGUACCAAAACAUACAGAAUAAACUGUUGGCUAAAGUUCUGCAGAACUUUUUUCCUUCUUACAGCAGAGAUUCAAAUUUAGACAUAAUAGUUCAUGGAUGUCAAAGCACAAUGCUUAAAUUAUACUCAAUGCUAAAAGAGGAUUUUAACAUACUCUGUGAAAUUUUAGCUCCAUCUUCAACAGUGAAAUUCAUUAAAGAAACUUACCUGGAUACUGUUACAGAAGAAAUGGCAAAAUUUCUUGAAAAUUUUUGUGAGCUGCAGUUCAAAGAAAACGCCGUCCGUGUGGUUAAAACAAGCAAGAGCUCCAGCAAGCAUAGAGGAACAGUGCAUGCUUUGGUUACUCCUGAAAGCCCACAGAAAAGAGGAAACUUCUCCCUCACCUUAGAUGAACUCAAAUUCUUAUCACAGCUCAUACAAUCCUUUUUGAAACUGGAAAAAAAUGUUCAAGAAUUGUUUGAAGAAAUGUUUUUAUCACUCAAGAUACCGAGGAAUACUUCAGAAAUUUUGGAGAAAUUCAAUAGAGGAGUAAUAGAGAAACCUAGAACAAACAAAACCAGUAUUUAUUCAGAGCAAUUGUUACCAGUAAAAGAGGCUACUUCACUAGAUUUUGGCUGGAGAAGUGCAUUUAAAGAAGUGUUUCUUCCCAUGGCAUGUAGCAUAACAAUUGCAAUUGAAGAUUUUUCCACAAAAAUUCUCCAACAGGAACAGAAUGAAAGGUCUUCAGCUGUGAGCUAUGCUAUGAACCUUGUAAAUGUCCAGCAAGUUUGGCAAGACAGCUAUGUGUUUCCUGAGGAGGAACAACCAAAGAAAAUUGCAAAGUUUUGUUCUGACAUCAUGGAAAAACUUGACACAAUGCUUCCACUGGCUCUGGCAUGCAGAGAUGAUUCUUUUCAGGAAAUUAGAGCAAACUUGGUGGAAGCCUUUUGUAAAGUGGCAACAGCUGUCCUGGAGAGACUGCAAGAGAGAGGCAAGGAGAUUCCUUCGAGAGCACCCCUGAAAAACUUGCACACACUCCUCUCCACAGCAGUGUAUGUCUUCCAGCAUUUCACGCAGUAUGAGCAUUUGAUGAAAGAAACUACUAAAAAACCCAUAUUCCUGGUGCCUGUCCAGCGAUAUCAGGAAUUCAUCAACACUCUACAGUUUCAGGUUACGAACUACUGCGUCAGAGUUUGUGCUACAAGCAUUUUACAGGAUGCUGAGAGCCACCACUGGGAUGACUACAAAGCUUUUUAUGAGGGGGAGAGAUGCUCCUUCUCAAUCCAGAUGUGGCAUUAUUUCUGCUGGGCUCUUCAUCACGAUCUCUGGACCAUUCUGUCCUCUAAGUUAGCCCAGGAGAUUCUAGCGGAAGUGCUGGAGAAAUCUUUGGGUCUUCUGGCCUCCAGAUAUGCCCGGGCCCAUCCCAGUUACAAGAGAACUCCACAGAUAAGACUUGAUGUCACAACAAUUUUAAUAUGCACCGAGAACAUGUUAUGGUCAGUUUGCACAUCUGUACAGAAACUUCUGAAACCUCAUGAAUAUAUAGAUGAUAAAAUUCUAAAAAUUCAUACCCAUUGUAAUAAUCUAUUUACAACAUUAGUCAUUUUGACUUCGCCAUUAACAGAAUUAUAUAAGACUUUUCAGCAUGGCAUGGAUGAGUCUGCUUCAGAUUCCUUAAAAUCAUGUUUUAAGCAACCAUUACACUGGAUUUCUUGCAUAUCACAUUUCUACCCUACUUUACUCAGGACUCCAUCAGCUGGAGGACUGAAAGCCGAGGGUCAAUUGAAACUGCUCUUAUCCCAGCCAGGUUGUAAUUGGAACCUGCUUCUGGAAACCGUACUGCAUCAUGAUGGUCUUUUACUGAGAAUCCUGCUGAAGAGCUCAAAACAUACUCUUCAAGAACAAGUUUCUGAUACAGAAAAUAAUCUGAAAAAGGAAUCCAGCUUGAUGGAAGCCAUCUUUAAAGUACUGUCCCAUUGCAAUUUUUCUCCACAAACAUUUGGAAAUAUUUUUGUGAGCUACAUGGAAGAAGAACAACUAUGGGACUUUUUAUAUAACAUUCCAGUCUCAAGGUGCGUGGGGUCUGAGCCCGAGUUCAUACGAUGCUUGCGGUUGGCACUGACGGACGCCGUCAAGGACACUGUACAGCAGAUAGUAUCUGUGAUGAGCUCUGGGAGAACCUGGGAGACAAACCUAAGCAAGCACAGUGUUCCCGAUUGUUUGCUUGAGAGCAUUCCAAAAGAAUGGAAUUAUAUUCCAAAAGAAACCAAAAGGAAAGAAUCAAGCAAAAGCUUCACAAGGCUUGCUGCUCAGGCAUUAUCUAUUGUAAUCAGCAAGUUACCUACGGUGAUUGCAUGUUUGCCUCCCCCAAUUAAAUACUUCUUUUUUCUGUCUGAGAGAAAAAUGUCAAAAAACUUUGUUGAAUUGAAGAAAGCUGGCCUGCUUGUCUGGAACUUGAUUGUAAUUAUAUGUCGGAUAUUUGAGGAUGGAAACACUGUGGAACUUUUAACAGGUGCCUCCCUUGACAGAUGGGGUAAAGAAAAACUCGGUUUAAUGUGUAUGUGUUUGGAAGGCGUCAUGGGAGACCAGGAGAGGAGCCCUAGUCAAGUGAUCCAAAAGGUCUUGCAAAGCAUCCAGCAGCAAAAGCCCAACUGGAUUGAAGGCCAAUUGCAGAAAGCAAGGAAACUGAGCACUGAAUGUGCAUUUAUGACAAUAAAGAAAAGCACAGCCUUAGAAGAAGGAGAUAUUGCUCUUGAACUGACUGAGCAGAAAAUAAACACGAUGGUCCUGGAUCUCUGCCACAAACCAGGUGGCAGCGAGUACCUGAGGCAAAUUUAUCACAUCAUGCGACUCAAUGAGGAAUAUUUAAAAGAACAGCUGCUUUGUAUGAAUGGUUCAGAGGAAAAGCCAUUACCCAUCCGACCUUUAAAGAUGACCUUGAGAAGUGUGGAAGAUCAGCCUUCUGCCUUUAACCCUUUCCAUGUGUAUAAGGUGUUUAGUGAAAACAUGCUAGAUCAGUCAGCCAUCACAAAAUGGAACUGGAAUUGGGCAAAUUUGCUGCCAAAUUAUCUGGGACUAGAUAAGAUGACCUUCAGUGUACUGCUCAAAAACAGCUGGGUAGACCUACUCAAAACUUAGAACUUCCAUCGACUUGAAACAUUUUCCAUAGAUUGGACCAGUCUGUGUUGUCACUCCAAGUCUCCUUCAAAGGUGGGAAAUGAGGAAGGAUGAAACACUAGAAGAGGAAGAAAAAGCAAUGCUGGAACAUCUAAAACAAAUUUGCACCAUACAGAACUCUUCUGCCUCAGAUAACACAGAGGAACAGUAAUCUGCAGAAAACAGCAACAGCUUUAUUUUAGGAAACAAUCACAUGUAAUGGAGUAGGAUUUUUACUAGAGUCAGAAUGAACCUCAGAUGUGCUGUGAAGCAUGAAAUCAAUGACUGAGUAAUCUCUGUACUGAAAAGGAAUACAGCGCAUAAAGACUAAGGUGCUACAUAUUUUUUAUUUUAAAAAUAAUUUCAAGUGUUUUUCUUUCCCCAGUCUUUCUCUUUAUGUGAUAUAACUGCUGCCAUCUCGUGUUCCCUUUGAAUUAUUUUUUUCUUCUUUCAGUCUUGAUGUAUCUAUGACAACAGGCAAAAAUGCUUGGAAAUCUUUUUUUCUCAGGAUGUUUAAUAUAACAUUUGGAUAUUAAAUUGAGGGGAGUCACAUAGCUCCUGGAGUGUCAUCUGAAAAUUUCAAUUUAAUUUUGUAGCUGUAGCCCAAGUCCCAGCCUUUAAUAUCAACCAUUGUACCAGCUCCCCCUUCCCAUAUAACCUCUUCCUCAUCCAAUUUAUCUUAAUCACAGCCACAAAGAGCAUUCUCGUGAACUGUAACUUUAGUCAUAUCUCCAUUUGUGGUGAUUUUCAGUCCUUCUCCUAAAUCACACUCAUACUUUUGCUCAUAAACUUUCAGGUCCCAUGCCAGAUGGCUCCAUGUUCAGGCAACUGCCUCGUAUCCUCUUGGCUCAAGCCAUAUACUUGCCAUUUCCCAACCAGAAACCACCUCUCUCCCAACAUUGAGUUCAAAACUCAUUCCAGCAGUCUUUUCCCCAAAGCUCAUCAUUCAUAAUGUCCAUAAUAAAAGAAAUAAUUCUUUUAUUUCCAUUGCAUUGAUACACACACACAUACACACAAAAAAAAAUAAGGAAACAAUGUGUUCAAACACCUUCUCUGCCAAAUAUAAUCAUAGAUAUUUAUUAUAUCCUUCCUAUCAGUGCCUGAUACUAGAUUAUAGAGACCUUGAAAACCUUACAAUAUGAUAUGAAGACUCCCUUUAUAACUCCCCAUAUGCCAGGUACAGUGUUAUUCAUCAAGUGGGCGGUUAAUGAACACAGCUGAUUAAAUGGCUGCCACUGAAAGAAGACAAAGACAUUUGGACUGUGGAGCAAUCUACGGGACAUCUGGGAGAGGCCUUCCAUCAUGGGCUAUUUUAGACUAUAUGACAUCAAACAUCAUGGUUUCUGGUGUUCUCAGAUGUAUAAUAAAUUGUCCAUACUCCCACAUUCUGUGAUUUUUAUAAAAUAUGUGUAGGCUACAUGAUUUCCAAAGGAAAGUACUCAUGCAUUUUUCAAAGAGUAAAAAGCUUAGGGUACAGAGGAAGCCACCUUAGAAAAUCUCUUCUAACAUUUUUUCUUUAAAUAAAAACACAUAAAUGGCCAUGUAGCCAGCUGCCUGCCAAAUAAAACAUUUUAUUUUUAAAGAUGUACUUUAGUUGGCCAGUAUAAUGAUGAACCAAGUGUUUUAAGAUAUGGUUGAAAUAAUUUCUAAAAAUUCAAUGUAGAUUAUUUAAAAAUUGUAAGAAAAUUUUAUGAGAACUGGACAUUCCAUCUAAUCUUAUCUAUAAACAAUUACUAUAAUAAUCAACAGAAGGUAACUUCAGUUGGUUUUAUUUCUUCACUUAAGUGGUGGCCUAUGUACGAAAUCUGCAUAAGUGUGCUUUAUUAGACUAGACACUAAAAUGGAAAGACAAAAUGAAAAUAACUUGAUCCAAUAAACCAAAUAAAACAAUCUUAUAAAGUUACAGGUUUUCACAUUUGGAUUGUCUUAUAAUAUAUCUAAAGGUCAUCUUAGAAAGCUUUUUAAAAUUGAAUCCGUAUAUUUCUAUACUAAUCCUGGGAAGUAAUUUAGUUCCUCCAGAAAAAAAUUCUUCUAUGGCUCCCUUUUGAAAGAAAAGAAGUAUCCUAAGGGGAGAAUGGGAUAAGUUUGGAAGAAGAGAAAAACAGUAGAGAAAGAGCUUGCAGUUAAAUUCUCUUCUAUACAUGCUCAGUGAAAUCCCUGUAGCAUAAGUGCACUAAAGUUUAUACUGAGAAUGUUAACUGACAUGUCAUUGAUUUAUCAGAUCAUUUUGACUUUAUAAUACUCAAUAUGUUUUUAAAGUAUGAUAAGAAUUGGUAUUUCAAAACAGUUGUUUCUCAAUUUAUUUUGCAUUUGUAUAAGUUAACAACAGUAAUGAAGCCUAACAGUUUAUAACUUCCCAUAUGCC